rnacentral:rRNA from 1 species
GACGAACGCUGGCGGCGUGCUUAACACAUGCAAGUCGAACGCUGAAGCCCUUCGGGGUGGAUGAGUGGCGAACGGGUGAGUAACACGUGGGUAAUCUGCCCUGCACUCUGGGAUAAGCCUUGGAAACGGGGUCUAAUACCGGAUAGGACACAUCGCCGCAUGGUGUGUGUGUGGAAAGUUCCGGCGGUGCAGGUUGAGCCCGCGGCCUAUCAGCUUGUUGGUGGGGUGAUGGCCUACCAAGGCGACGACGGGUAGCCGGCCUGAGAGGGUGACCGUCCACACUGGGACUGGGACACGGCCCAGGCGCCUACGGGAGGCAGCAGGGGGGACUAUUGCAAUGGGCGAGAGACUGACGCAGCAACGCCGCGUGGGGGAUGACGGCCUUCGGGUUGUAAACCUCUUUCGACCGGGACGAAGGAUUCGUUUGACGGUACCGGUAGAAGAAGCACCGGCUAACUCUAAUACCAGCCGCCGCGGUAA